CCAGUGCCCUCUUCUAAGCUCUUUAUCAUCAUAAUUUCUGAUGUAAAGAGCAUGAUGCCAUGGACAAAAUGGGCCCUCAGUGACUAUCCGAUGCAGGGCCAGGCACUGAAUGCAGGUGCAUAUACUGGAGCUCAGAGGAUUUCAGUGAGUUACCCCGGCCACAGCCAGUGAGCAGCGAUGUCAAGAUGUCUUGAAUCCUGGGCCUCAGCUGCAAAGCCGUAACCAGUCCUCUGUGUUCCCAUGGGCCAGUGCUUUACAAAGGUCCUUGCAGGGAAUCAUGCCAGGUUAGGCUGGUGGUCCCAGAGGAGGAUAAGAGGCUUAUGGAGCAGAGUUGCCUAAUCAGGCCCAGCCAAGAUCAGCAGACCCUCAACCAAUACAUAGACACACGAACCAGAUAAAUGGUUUUGUUAUUUGCCACUGAGAAAUGUUCAUCCCUAGAAGAUUGUGGUAUUUCUGGCCAUACGCAGGAAAGGUGCCACAGAUGCUCAAGUAUAGGCAUCAGCUACCACCCCAUCUGCUGGUGGUGCUCAUACUUCUCCGGGAUACCUCCCCUCCAGUCUCCUCCACCCCUACAGGGUCAGCACUGCUCUUAAGCCUUGAAGUGUCACAUCUGCAUGGCAGCUGCCAGCAAAAGGGAGAAAAAUCUCUGUAUCCCUUCAGGUGACACUAGUUGCUGUAUGGAUAAACACCUAAAUCUCACUUGGCUGAACACAAUAAAAGUUUAUCUGGUGCUCACAG
rnacentral:lncRNA from 1 species